AAAUUGAAGAGUUUGAUCAUGGCUCAGAUUGAACGCUGGCGGCAGGCCUAACACAUGCAAGUCGAACGGUAACAGGAAGAAGCUUGCUUCUUUGCUGACGAGUGGCGGACGGGUGAGUAAUGUCUGGGAAACUGCCUGAUGGAGGGGGAUAACUACUGGAAACGGUAGCUAAUACCGCAUAACGUCGCAAGACCAAAGAGGGGGACCUUCGGGCCUCUUGCCAUCGGAUGUGCCCAGAUGGGAUUAGCUAGUAGGUGGGGUAACGGCUCACCUAGGCG
rnacentral:rRNA from 1 species